GACGGAGGGUGCAAGCGUUGCUCGGAAUCAUUGGGCGUAAAGGGUGCGUAGGCGGUUUUGUAAGUCAGUGGUGAAAGCCCAUCGCUCAACGGUGGAACGGCCAUUGAUACUGCAAGACUUGAAUUAUUAGGAAGUAACUAGAAUAUGUAGUGUAGCGGUGAAAUGCUUAGAGAUUACAUGGAAUACCAAUUGCGAAGGCAGGUUACUACUAAUGGAUUGACGCUGAUGGACGAAAGCGUGGGGAGCGAACAGG
rnacentral:rRNA from 1 species